UCGCGGCUUAUCACCGGCAGUCCCCCUAGUGUGCCCAACUGAAUGAUGGCAACUAGGGGCGAGGGUUGCGCUCGUUGCGGGACUUAACCCAACAUCUCACGACACUAGCUGACGACAGCCAUGCAGCACCUCUGUACAGACCUCCGAAGAGGGGCACUCAUCUCUGAGCGUUGCCUGUACAGUUCAAGCCCAGGUAAGGUUCUUCGCGUUGCGUCGAAUUAAACCACAUGCUCCACCGCUUGUGCGGGCCCCCGUCAAUUCCUUUGAGUUUCAGCCUUGCGGCCGUACUCCCCAGGCGGGGCACUUAAUGCGUUAGCGCCGGCACCCAGGGGGUCGCUCCCCCAGGCACCUAGUGCCCAUCGUUUACGGCGUGGACU
rnacentral:misc_RNA from 1 species